CCUACGGGGGGCAGCAGUGAGGAAUAUUGGUCAAUGGCCGUAAGGCUGAACCAGCCAAGUAGCGUGAGGGAAGACUGCCCUAUGGGUUGUAAACCUCUUUUAUGCGGGGAUAACGGUGUCCACGUGUGGACGUUUGAAGGUACCGCAUGAAUAAGGACCGGCCAAGUCCGUGCCAGCAGCCGGGGUAAUACGGAAGGUCCGGACGUUGUCCGGAUUUAUUGGGUUUAAAGGGUGCGUAGGCGGAUUUUUAAGUCAGCGGUAAAAUGUCCGGGCUCAACCCGGGCCGGCCGUUGAAACUGGGGCUCUUGAGUGGGCGAGAAGUAUGCGGAAUGCGUGGUGUAGCGGUGAAAUGCAUAGAUAUCACGCAGAACUCCGAUUGCGAAGGCAGCAUACCGGCGCCCGACUGACGCUGAGGCACGAAAGCGUGGGGAUCGAACAGGAUUAGAUACCCUGGUAGUC
rnacentral:rRNA from 1 species